rnacentral:rRNA from 1 species
GAUGAACGCUAGCUACAGGCUUAACACAUGCAAGUCGAGGGGCAGCGGGAUUGAAGCUUGCUUCAAUUGCCGGCGACCGGCGCACGGGUGAGUAACGCGUAUCCAACCUUCCGUACACUCAGGGAUAGCCUUUCGAAAGAAAGAUUAAUACCUGAUGGUAUGAUGAGAUUGCAUGAUAGCAUCAUUAAAGAUUUAUCGGUGUACGAUGGGGAUGCGUUCCAUUAGGUAGUAGGCGGGGUAACGGCCCACCUAGCCAACGAUGGAUAGGGGUUCUGAGAGGAAGGUCCCCCANAUUGGAACUGAGACACGGUCCAAACUCCUACGGGAGGCAGCAGUGAGGAAUAUUGGUCAAUGGACGAGAGUCUGAACCAGCCAAGUAGCGUGAAGGAUGACUGCCCUAUGGGUUGUAAACUUCUUUUAUAAAGGAAUAAAGUCGGGUAUGUAUACCCGUUUGCAUGUACUUUAUGAAUAAGGAUCGGCUAACUCCGUGCCAGCAGCCG